rnacentral:siRNA from 1 species
GACAUACGCUUAGUCAGCAAGGG